UUUGAAUUAGUUUGAAUUUUUCAAUCAUUUUCUUUUUUAUGGUUGUGGAUCAAGCAAGAAUUGAUUCUCCCUGAAUUUCUUUUAUCCUCUCCAUUUUGCCUAUAAAAUGAACAGAAAUGAUUAACCCACCGUGAAAAAGAAUCGUGUGAGAGGGGAUCCACUUCAGCCCACCCCUAUCCCAAUGCAGAGAAGGCUUAUCUGGAACCUUCCAUCUCUUUCGGUGCAUUCCACGGUUAUUUGUCACGAGUUGCAUGGUAUCUCCAUCGGGCAGUUUAUCUUGGACGAAACUACACUACGGGAGUAUUAGUAUCCCUCAUUCAUAAAGUGUACCCUUGCAAGUGACUCUAUCCUCUUUUUGUUGAUUAAUGGAGUAUCAUAUACAGACAGUUGAUUCCAUUUACUUUUCUGCAAUUUGUGUUCAUCAUUAGUUACCCUAUUUCGUUGUACCGUUCUAAGUUCUAAGUUCUAACAAAUCUGACUAUUAUGCUUAUCACCGAAUAGACAUGUCAAGACGGAGCAACGAUAUGUCAAUGACAUUUAUUCUUGUGAUGUGGACGGCAGAGUUAAACUACGCAAUUACGUGUGAAACACAAAUGAUUUUUUUUUUGAAGCAUGUUACAAAUGAUGUUUGCAAUGUCUUAAAUUAUUAAGACAGGUAAGUGAACGUACUCAGUUAACUCA